GAUGAACGUUGGCGGCGUGCCUAACACAUGCAAGUCGAACGGAAAUAGCAAUAUUUGAGUGGCGCACGGGUGAGUAACACGUAGCUAAUCUACCUCAAAGCGCGGGAUAACGUGUCGAAAGACAGGCUAAUACCGCAUAAGCUCCCGAUCUGUAGAGGAUUGGGAGAAAAGGCGUAAGUCACUUUGAGAUGAGGCUGCGGCCCAUCAGCUAGUUGGUGCGGUAAUGGCGUACCAAGGCGACGACGGGUAGGGGACCUGAGAGGGUGACCCCCCACACUGGGACUGAGACACGGCCCAGACUCCUACGGGAGGCAGCAGUGAGGAAUAUUGCACAAUGGGCGAAAGCCUGAUGCAGCGACGCCGCGUGGGUGAAGAAGGUUUUCGGAAUUCGUAAAACCCUUUUCUGUGUGACGAGCAAGGACGUAGCACAGGGAAUAAGUCUCGGCUAACUACGUG
rnacentral:rRNA from 1 species